GUGGAUUCAAAAUCAUAAAAAGGUAAAUCAAAAGAAUAUUUGAGAUAAUCUAAUAAUAUAAUGAUUAUUUCACCGAUUCCUUAAUCAUUAGAAAAAAUAAAAGUACAAACUUGAAGCAACCUGAUAAUACAAAAGAAGGCCAGAUUUUUUGAUACAUGACGAGAGUCAUAUAAUGAGCUCAAAAUCAUCAUUUCUAUAUACAAAAUCAAGAGCUCAAUGAUAAAAUAGUAGUCUUAGUCGUUGAAAAGAAAUCCAAAUUCCACGAGCAAGAAGAAGAACAAGAUUGUGAAUUCCACAGUUAUCUCAGUCCGGAAAGGGAUCCAUGAUUCCAUGAGUGAUCUAAAUCGUCACGUCCACAAUAGCAGAAAAUGUACUGGAUUUUUUUAUUGUAGUCAAGACCUAAAUAACACCAAAUCAAGGACAAAAUGAUGUCAAAAUUGGUAAAGAAACAAGCUAAUGAGUCCAUAUUAAAGUUGUUACAUUUUUAUUGGCUUGCCUUUUAUAAGUGGUUCUUGUGUAUGGUGGGGAAGAAAUGAGUCUUCAAGGCCUUUUGUUACAGGAACUCCUAAUAAGUGCAGACUUCCAAAUCAGAACAGAGCAUCUUCAAUAUUAGUAAUAUUGCAUAAAAAGCCAUGGAAGUACAACACCCACCUUCUAUAUAUCUUGAAAAACCAUCACAAUAGCAAUUAAGCCACAAGCAUUGAAACAGAAAAAUCUUCAUCAACUCAUCCUUCCAUCUGGAACAACAAUCACAAUAGCAAUUAAACAUACGAAGUAAUUAUUUUAGGAAAAAUAGAGUUGUAUGGCUUUCAGAGGGGAUCCCACUGGUUUCUUUUAUGUUGUCUUAUUUUGCUUCUCUUUUGUCGGCUUCUAAUUUGGGAUUAUGUUAUGCUAGGUGAAGCCUAAAUCUAAAAAUAUUUGGAUUAAACUAUUGCUAUUUACCUGAUUUUCAUCAUCAUGAUCAUGAUUCCAGUAGAAAUUUUCAAAUUUGAUGAAGCCUAAAUCUAAAAAAUAUUUGGAUUAAACUAUCGCUAUUUACCUG
rnacentral:lncRNA from 1 species